ACUGUCUUCCGCCUCCCCUCCUGUCCCACUGGAAGGUCUUCAGGGGCAAUAACAAGCGUGGAGCUUCAUUUCCUCUGAUAACAAUGCCUUCUUCUCGAAUCCUUCCUGGAGGACCUGUCUGAGGAUGUUUUCCAGCUAGCUUUUUUUUCAUAAGUAGAAAGAGUACACUAAAAUAACAGCAAAAAGUAUAGUAGAUACAUAAACCAGUACCAUAGUCAUUUAUUAUCAAGUAUUAUGUACUAUACAUAACUGGAUGUGCUAUACUUUUAUUAUACAACUGGCAGAGCAGUCAAUUUGUUUACCCCAGCAUAACCACAUACAUGUUCUGCUUGAAUUCUUGCCCUGGCUCUUGGUGAAGGAUCGGCCUGCUGGAUCUGAGUCAUCCACCUAUAAGAGGGACAACACCACACAUUGGUCGCUGCUCUCAAGCCCCUGGAAUACCACCCCACUUGGCUUCUCCUGGUAACAGUGGCUGCCUUUGCUUGCCUGUCUCCAACUCCUCCCAAGAGCAUUGCUGACUGUGAGCUGUACCUUUGAAUCUGCAGGGGCCCUUCCCAUCUGUCUAAUAUUUGCUAUCAGUGAAACAGAAAAACCCUUGGGACACUGUCAGGGAGCAUUCUGGCCCGCAAAAUGCCUACCAACCACCAUGCCGUUCUCAUUCUUGCCAUUAGCAACCUUCUCUUUCUCUACAUCAUCAGCGUCCUAUGUGCACUCAUUCUAGAGGGCCAAUAAUUCUCACAGAUUACCAGUGUAGACUUAAAUUAUUUUUAUUAUAAUAUCACAGUACAAGUAAAAA
ensembl:lncRNA LINC02020 long intergenic non-protein coding RNA 2020